rnacentral:tRNA from 1 species
CAAUCAUUAGACCCCCCAAUUAUCCCACCAGGGGAAAAGCA